rnacentral:rRNA from 1 species
UACGGAGGGAGCUAGCGUUAUUCGGAAUUACUGGGCGUAAAGCGCACGUAGGCGGCUUUGUAAGUAAGAGGUGAAAGCCCAGAGCUCAACUCUGGAAUUGCCUUUUAGACUGCAUCGCUUGAAUCAUGGAGAGGUCAGUGGAAUUCCGAGUGUAGAGGUGAAAUUCGUAGAGAUGUGGAGGAACACCAGUGGCGAAGGCGGCUGACUGGACAUGUAUUGACGCUGAGGUGCGAAAGCGUGGGGAGCAAACAGG